rnacentral:misc_RNA from 1 species
UGAAUAAUCGCUUCCAGAAGUACUCAGUAAUAUAACUUAUUUUUAUUUUAAUCUAACGGAAAAUUCUGAUGUUAAUGAUAUGGCAAAAGCUGAGUCUUAUGGAGAUUUCAUAAUAGAAAAAAUGGAAGAAUACUUCAAAAGAUUGCCAGAGGUUACAGAUGACAUGAAGAAUUUGAUUUUGUAUCUUUUUAACUUGGUACAAGGAUCUUCUGAUGGCUCUGAUGAUUGGACGAAACUUUCACCUAAGAUGCCAAGAGAUUACCCAGUUUGUAAAGGCGAUUUUUCGAUUAAUUGGAAAGAGUCCACUUAUACUACAAUAUUGGAUAUCCUGAUGAAGAAAUAUCCGAAUCCGACAGAAGAACUACCAGUUUUGAAUAAUACGAUUUUAAAUUCAAAAGUUGUUAAAAUAAAUUAUGAUUCAUCAGAUGCACCAGUUGAAAUAACUACUGAAGAGGGUAAAAAAUAUUUAGCUGAUCAUAUUAUUGUAAUGCCGUCUUUAGGAGUUUUAAAAGCUGAUUAUGAAAAAUUGUUCAAUCCGCCUUUACCAGAUAAAAAAAUUAAUGCUAUUCAAAACCAGUUCAUGAUGCAAGAGUAAUUAUUGUUGGGUCAGGAGCAGCAGGUAUAGCCACUGCGUCGAAAUUGCUUCAAAAUGGCUUUACUGAUAUCAAAAUUAUUGAAGCUGAGAACCGAAUUGGUGGUCGGCUUUGGGCAGUUAAAAUCGAAGUAUACGAUAACAAAUCA